AAAGAAGUAGUGAUGCUGAGUGCUGCUGCUGGUCCAUAGAUCACACAUUGAGAGGCUGAAGAACAGAGAGCUUCCACUGUUCUCUUCUGAGGCCCUCAAAUUCAUUCCAAUUUCUGGGCCCAGUGGUGAGGAUGAUUAUAAGGUGAAGAGUUGGACAAAUGUGGUCAAGAACUGCUGUCAGCCCUAUACUCCCCCAUGGAGAAUAUGCAAGAGAAUGAAAAAGCCAAAGGCCAAAAAGAAAGAGUGGAAGAGAACCAGAUCAGCAAAACUGGGGAUAGUCACCACUUCUUCUACCCUUGCCACGGUCUCUCCAGAAGACUGGGAGCCGGUCACACAGACCAAGGGUGAGGUCCUCAUAAUUGACCUUUCAGGUGAAGCCUAACUCUCCUCCUCUUGAAUGUGGGCCGAAGUGACUUGCUUCUAAUGAACGGAAUCUGGUGGAAGAGAUGGUCUGUGACUUCCAAGACGAGGUCAUAAAAGACAUUGCAGCUUCCUCCUUGUCCUCCCUUGUGAAUUGUGGGCUGCUCACUCUGGGGGAAACUAGCUGCUGUGCCAUAAGAACACUCAAACAGCCCUGUGGAGAGGAUCUCGUGGCAAGGAAAUGUGGAUUCCUGCCAACAGCCAAAGAACUAAGGCCUUCCAGCAAAUAACCACUGAGUGAGCCAAACUGGGAGUGAAUCUUCCAGCACCAAUGAAUCCUCAGAAAGACUACAGCUCCAGCUGACAUCUUGAACGCCACCUCAUGAGAGGUCCUGACCUGGAGCCACCCUGCUAAGCUGCUCCCAGAUUCCUGACCCUCAGAAACCAUAUUAUAAGCUAGUUGUCACCUGCUACAUGUGGAAAGGAGAUGUUUGGCAUGGCACUGAUCAAUGUGUAUAUUUGCUGAGAAGUUUACCCCAGGAGAAAAGAGAAAACAAGCUGUGUGAAUGGAAUUUGGAGAAAGAGUGAAAACAAAAUGCUUCCUACAUCUACUUUUGAAACACGAAAGUACCUCCUUUUAAUGGAAAAUGUCUGGGAGUCACUGCCUUGAAAAAAUUUCUAAAAAGUACUCUCAACAUCCUAAACUAUAGGAAAAUAACUUGUGGAUAAUGAGCUCCACAUUCUUUCUCUCCUUCUUUGCCCUCUUUAUCUCCGAGAAUGUGAGGAGUUGGCAUUGAACAUAGCAGUGACUUAUGGACAACCUCAAAGGUCUAUGGGAAAAAAAAAAUCUGCAGUUUUGCUGAGGCAAGCAUCAGAAUCCCAAACAUUAUUGUCUGAGAACAAAUCACUUGAUUAGUGAGUGGGCUCAGCCAUCCACCUGGUAUUCACAUCUUAGGCAAGAUCUUAUGGUUCUCUAUAAUCAUCACAUCUGCAAUAAAUUCUGCGAAAAGA